UCUAGCCCUGGCCAAACCAGCAGUAGCAUUGGCUCCCAGUGUCCCUGCAGGGGACCUUUAGUUCUUAGGACCUCUAAGGACCUGCCCCUAAGUGCGUCCUCAGUAUGUGUUCCUUCUGUGUUCGCCACGCCCACGCCUCUGUAAGUUGUCCCCAAAUGAGGCACGCUUCAGCUAAGCACUUAAAGGGUUCCAACUGUUUCCUUUCAAUACUUGAAUAGAUCGGCGGGGAAAACAGCUGAGAGACGUGCGCGGCAUCAGCUACUGGGAAAUAGGGGGAAGCCUGAAGACGACAUCGGACCCAGAUAAGAUAUAUUUUCACAUGCUGAAAUUGGCUAAGAUAAAAACAAUGAUCUCUGCGGCUCCGAUCUCACUAAUUUUUCUUCCUUAUCAGUGAGGAAAACAUUAUGAAGCUGGUUUAUAGGCGCCAAAGUUAAGGGAUUUUCCAAGAUCCAUCUGUUAUGUGAAGACUGGGGCAGACCUGAACAAACUGGAAUUGUUACCUUAAUCUGGAGUUAUUAUUAUCAGGACCUUCGAGUCCUGCCCAGCUGCUGCUGCCGAGGGGCUGUUACACGGAAAACAAUCGAACUUGUUGCUUCCUGCUUGGAGGCCCGGCGUGGUGUUUUAUCCCUUCCCCUCCGAACUGGAGAACAGGCCGCUUAUUGUCUUGAGACCUCAGCAGACGCUGAGAAAAAGAGGGCAGGAAGAGUCCCUACUGUGCAAAUGUGCCUUGCAGCUGGUGGCAUUCUCUACGGACGGACGCGACAGACUCUGCACAGCUGUCCCUUGAAGUGCUGGUAGUGUGCCGAUGGACUUGACUGACUUCAUCGGUCCCUCUGCUGAACUGUGGGGUACUGGAAGCCAGGGUCUGAGUCAGGUGGCAAAGCAAACCUGAAGGUACAAGGAUGAAAUCUGGCUGACUUAGGAAGGAACUAACUCCUGUCUAGCUCAUGUUUCCACACGGGAGGAUUUCCUCCCAGGAGUAGCUAAGCCAACCUUUCAACUUUCACUUUCGUUAUCCUCCCGUGUGAAAAGCCAUUUGGAGAGUUUGGAAGAAGGAGCCAGGUAUCCGUGGCUCAACCAGAUAUACCUGUUUCUGUCUGUCUCCAGAGAGGAAAUAUGGUCUGAUCUCCUGGCUGUAGGUUACUUUUUACCUCUGCCAAUGCUCAGACCGAAGGGGUGAUCCUCAGACUGCCUAGACUGCACUGUGUCUCCACCAAACCUCAGACUCCACACUCCAGAGAUGCAAAACAGCUUUGAGGAAGACGCAGGAACCAUUUUAAGGGUUCGAGAAGCUGUGGACAUUGUGCCGUGUGCACCAUUAUUUGAUAACAGCAUCCUAGAAGAAAAGGCCAUAUAUAAUCACAUCUCAUGCCAACUGAAGGAACUAUUUGUCAGACCUAGAGGUCUUAGGGACACUAGGAAUUCAACCCAUGGCAAAUUGACUUAAGAGUGUAUUUAACAAGUGACUGGGUUAAAUCCAGGUUUCCGGAACUCUCCUCUAUGACACCUGAAGCUGGACAGAUCCUGGAGGGCAGGGGUAGCUAGCUAUGCUGUGCAUUUAAGGUGUUCCACACCUUAAAUCUUGUGAUCUCUAUUCCAGAUGCCAGUAGUGUUUAUCACAGUAGUGAUAAACAAAAUUUCCCAGACAUUGUCAAAUAGUCCCUGAGGGUGGGGGGUUGCCUCUAGUGAAGAACCGCUGAUUUAAAUGAUCUAAAUUGGGUAAUUCCCAGCAACUCAGUAAAGUCAACUCUCUUCCGUUU